GACGAACGCUGGCGGCGUGCUUAACACAUGCAAGUCGAACGAUGAACUCCAGCUUGCUGGGGGGAUUAGUGGCGAACGGGUGAGUAACACGUGAGUAACCUGCCCUGGACUCUGGGAUAACCCCGAGAAAUCGGAGCUAAUACCGGAUAGGACCUUUCCCCGCAUGGGGUUUGGUGGAAAGUUUUUCGGUUUGGGAUGGACUCGCGGCCUAUCAGCUUGUUGGUGAGGUAAUGGCUCACCAAGGCGUCGACGGGUAGCCGGCCUGAGAGGGUGACCGGCCACACUGGGACUGAGACACGGCCCAGACUCCUACGGGAGGCAGCAGUGGGGAAUAUUGCACAAUGGGCGCAAGCCUGAUGCAGCAACGCCGCGUGCGGGAUGACGGCCUUCGGGUUGUAAACCGCUUUUAGUAAGGAAGAAGGGGAGCUUGCUCCUUGACGGUACUUGCAGAAAAAGGACCGGCUAACUACGUGCCAGCCGCCGCGGUAACAC
rnacentral:rRNA from 1 species